rnacentral:rRNA from 1 species
GACGAACGCUGGCGGCGUGCCUAAUACAUGCAAGUCGAACGCAGUGGGGACGGGUGAGUAACACGUGGGUAACCUCCCAUCAGAGGGGAUAACACUUGGAAACCGGUGCUAAACCGAUACUGAUGGAUGAACCCGCGGUGCAUUAGCUAGUUGGUGAGGUAACGGCUCACCAAGGCCACGAUGCAUAGCCGACCUGAGAGGGUGAUCGGCCACACUGGUACUGAGACACGGCCCAGACUCUGACGGGAGGCAGCAGUAGGGAAUCUUGGGCAAUGGGCGAAAGUCGGACAGGGCAACGACGCGUGGAUGAAGGAGGUUAUCGGAUCGUAGAGCUGUAUUGUUAGAGAAGCGGUAUCUAACGAGAAAGCGACGACUGUCUACGUGCCAGCCGCCGCGGUAAUUC